rnacentral:rRNA from 1 species
GACGAACGCUGGCGGCGUGCUUAACACAUGCAAGUCGAGCGGAAAGGCCCUUUCGGGGGUACUCGAGCGGCGAACGGGUGAGUAACACGUGAGUAAUCUGCCCUUCACUCUGGGAUAGCCCUCCGAAAGGGGGAUUAAUACCGGAUACGACCAUGGUACGCAUGUGCUUGUGGUGGAAAGGUUUUCUGGUGGGGGAUGUGCUCGCGGCCUAUCAGCUUGUUGGUGGGGUAAUGGCCUACCUAGGCUUCGACGGGUAGCCGGCCUGAGAGGGUGACCGGCCACACUGGGGACUGAGACACGGCCCAGACUCCUAC